UUUUCGUUGAAGUUAAAUAUGGUUCAGUAAGCAUGAUCACAUACAACGAAACGGUUGUCGGGGUUUGUUGAUAGAUAGGAGAUCUUCAUCAAUGGCAUUAUUUACAUUCAAUGUAUUCCGAACAGCAGUGUGAAUAACAACCGAUUGACCGACAACAACCAUGGGGCUCUUCUGUUCAUGUCUUGAAGAUAAAACGCAGCCCAUCGGAAGGAAUGAUAACGGAUCGCGCCAUGGAGGCCAGUCGACCCCACCGUUUGUAUACAUUGAUCAGCCACGACCACAGCAAAGGUCAGCAAAUCAGUUCCUGGCUCCGAUGACGACAUCCUCCGCCUCAACAACCAUUCGAGUGGUACAACAACCCGCCAAAAGAAGACCUCAGAAAAAGCACGCCCCAGCUAGGGGACCAAACCUGUUGAUUGAUUCAGGAGUUACCGUUAGGAUCGCUCCCAGAACCAUAUCCCAGCAAGUGAGAAUCCUAGAAGUGCAACAGUGUGAUGCUUGUGGGCAAUCCGAUCAUACCAUGGCAGUUUGCCGAUACAGAGAACGGCUUUGUUUCUACUGCCGAGAGGAGGGCCACAUUAUAUCAGUUUGCCCGGCCAAAAAGCGUCAGCAACAGCGAAGACAAGCUCAGCGCAAACGACAACACGCAACCAAACGCUAUUAAAAUGCUAUAAAUGUACUCGCGUUCAGUAUCGUAAGGGCGUAACUGCAGUGCUCGAGUUCUCUUUAGUCUUGGUCGGACGAUUGUUUUCGACCGCUGUUUCAAUACAAAGCACUUGCUUUGAGGAGAAAUGUUACGAAAAUCGAUAGGAUUGCUUGCGAAGUGAAAUCGAUCGCUGCAGCUACGCCUGUAUGAUACUAAACGCGAGAUAAUUAUUCCCUUCUGUGAACUGUUCUACUUAAGCAAACGGUUCCAGUUCAAACUUUGUUUAGUCUAUUCAAGUAACCGUACCAUAUGAAUGUAUUGCAUUGUCAGCAGUAUUUUAAUGAGAAGCAUCGAUUCCGAUCCCAAGAGAGGCCUUUUUUUCUUUUCGCUGUGGGUAAUGUUUCGUUCGAUUUUGACUUACCUCCAAGCAUGGGGAGUAAACCCCGGGCACUGAUCCGGGCAUUCGUCGCACUCCGUGCCAUCGAAAAUUUCGUUGAUGAUCACCUAGAAGAAAUAGAAACACCCGACUUUGUAAUAGAAGUGUAUCUGAUGUUCGUGUGGAAAUAAAAAUGUCAUACUUUUCAAUAUAGUUUAA